rnacentral:rRNA from 1 species
AAAGAUUAAGCCAUGCAUGUCUAAGUUCAUUGACUUUGNANNGAGAAACNGCGANNGNCUCAUUAAAACAGUCAUAAUUUCUUUGAUCGUUCCUUACUACAUGGAUAACCGNGGUAAUUCUANAGCUAAUACAUGCAACCAAGCUCCAACUUCAGGAAGGAGUGUAUUUAUUAGAUAAAAAACCAAUGCAGGCAACUGCUUUCCUUGGUGAAUCAUAAUAACUGCUCGAAUCGUACGACUUCAUGUCNACNAUGGUUCAUUCAAAUCUCUGACCUAUCAACUUUCGAUGGUAGGAUAGUGGCCUACCAUGGUGA